UACGAAGGGGGCUAGCGUUGCUCGGAAUCACUGGGCGUAAAGGGUGCGUAGGCGGGUUUUUAAGUCAGAGGUGAAAUCCUGGAGCUCAACUCCAGAACUGCCUUUGAUACUGAGAAUCUUGAGUAUGGGAGAGGUGAGUGGAACUGCGAGUGUAGAGGUGAAAUUCGUAGAUAUUCGCAAGAACACCAGUGGCGAAGGCGGCCAACUGGUCCGGCACUGACGCUGAGGUGCGAAAGCGUGGGGAGCAAACAGG
rnacentral:rRNA from 1 species